UACGGGGGGUGCGAGCGUUGUCCGGAAUCACUGGGCGUAAAGGGCGCGUAGGUGGUUUGAUAAGGGUGUGGUGAAAGCCCGGGGCUCAACCCCGGGUCUGCCGUGCCGACUGUCAAACUCGAGGGCUGUAGAGGCAGACGGAAUUCCGGGUGUAGCGGUGGAAUGCGUAGAGAUCCGGAGGAAGACCGGUGGCGAAGGCGGUCUGCUGGGCAGUUUCUGACGCUGAUGCGCGACAGCGUGGGGAGCAAACAGG
rnacentral:rRNA from 1 species